UACAGGGGGUGCAAGCGUUGCUCGGAAUCACUGGGCGUAAAGCGUACGCAGGCGGACCGUUAAGUCGGGUGUGAAAGCCCGGGGCUCAACUCCAGAACUGCCUUCGAUACUGAGAGUCUUGAGUCCGGGAGAGGUGAGUGGAACUGCGAGUGUAGAGGUGAAAUUCGUAGAUAUUCGCAAGAACACCAGUGGCGAAGGCGGCUCACUGGCCCGGUACUGACGCUGAGGUGCGAAAGCGUGGGGAGCAAACAGG
rnacentral:rRNA from 1 species